UGGUGGAGUGAUUUGUCUGGUUAAUUCCGUUAACGAACGAGACGUCUUUCUGCUAAAUAGCAAUACUCAGCUCCUAAUGGGUGAAGCUCUUGGACGGAUCUGGUCGGCUUGCUGGCUGGGCCUCUGGGGUGGAUCCCUGGUGACUGUUUAAAACUUCUUAGAGAGACUAGUGGGGUAUACCCACUGGAAGUGACGCAAUAACA
rnacentral:rRNA from 1 species